GUAAAAAGCAAGGGGUGAAGACAGAUCCUCAGUUCCUUCUUUUUUCUUUUUUGCUUUCUUUUCUUGCCUUUUUGCUCUCUCUUCUUG
rnacentral:ribozyme from 14 species